rnacentral:rRNA from 1 species
UCUCUCCCUCUCCCUCUCGUAUCUAUCUCCCCUUGUUAUAACGACCGAAUCAUGAAACGAUCGGUCCUGCCUUGUAAGCCACGACAGGGGCGAUUCCUGUCCCUAAUCAAUAUAAACCAACGCGGCUCCUCAUCGAGGAGUAGGAACGCUUCCAUCUAACAUGGUAUACAGAGCCAUCCUCUUUCCAUCGAUCUAGCCAGAAGCUUUCUUCCUCGUUCACCCUCGCCAUCGCCAUGUCGUCCUCAUCCACCGUCAUCCUCAACCUUGGAGCCCUACCAUCCGAGAAACUUACCAAAACCAACUACAUCAUGUGGAAGGCACAGGUCAUGCCGGGCCUGCGAGGAGCGCAGGUCACCGGCCUCCUCGACGGGUCAGACGUCGCGCCACCGAAGACGGUGCAGCGAGAGCAGACGGACAAAACCGUCACCACGGAGCCCAAACCGCUGUAUGCACAGUGGAUAUCAAAGGAUCAACAGGUUCUGAGUCAUCUUCUGAACUCCUUGUCAAUGGAGAUCCUCGCCCAGGUUGCGAGCAAGGAGACAACCUUUGAUCUCUGGACUGCCAUCACCACCUUGUUCUCCUCGCAGUCCCAAUCCCGCAUCACCAAUCUGCGGAUUGCCAUCACCAACACAAAGAAGGGCUCCAUGUCCAGCAGCGCCUACAUCUCCAGGAUGAAGAACCUGGGGGACGAACUCGCAGCGGCAGGACGUCCCGUCUCGGAUCCAGAGAUGGUGGAUUAUGUUCUCGCCGGCCUUGACAGAGAUUAUGAUCCUGUUGUGGCAGCAGCUAUUGGCGCAAUCAAGAACCAGAUCACAGUUGAUGACUUGUUUGCUCAGAUCGCGGCGUUCGAUCAGCGAGUCGAGAUGCUUGGCGAUGGGCCUGACGGGGGUUUCAAAACCUCUGCAAAUUUGGCGUACAGGGGGCGCGGACGCGGCUACAGCAGGGGCCGCGGGCACAGCAGCAGCAGAGGACGCGGCCGUGGCAGGCGUCCUUCCCCGACUCCAUCUGGUGGCCACGGCGGCGGCAGAGGUGGUCGCGGUCGCCCACAACAACAACGACAGCAGCAAGAACAUGAUUAUCCAGAAUGUCAAAUCUGCUACAAACAUCAUCCAGGAGGUGCUCGUGAUUGUUGGCAUAGGUAUGAUGAAGAUGAACCCGAGGAGAAGAGUGCAAACAUGGUCACCAACUCCUAUGGCGUCGACGCGAACUGGUAUGCAGAUACCGGUGCUUCACAUCACAUCACCGGCGAGCUGGACAAGUUGACGUUUAAGGAGAAGUACCAUGGACAUGAUCAAGUACACACCGCAAGCGGUUCUGGACUUGGACACGAGGAGAAUCCUUCUUAGGGGCAAAUGCGUGGGAGGUCUCUACCCACUUAUAUAUUCGUCAUCAUCAUCGAAUAAACGAGCCUUUGUCGCUAUCAAGCCUUCAUCAUCCAAGUGGCAUAGUAGAUUAGGUCGCCCUUCAUCAGUCAUUGUUAAAUUUGUUCUUAGCAAGAAUAAACUUCCUGUUUCUCAUGAGAUAAGUGAGUCGAUUUGUGAUCCAUGUCAACAGGCUAAAAGCCAUCAACUUCCAUACCCUGUAUCUACUAGCAUAUCUACUGCACCCUUGCAACUAGUUUUCUCAGAUGUUUGGGGGCCAGCUCCUACUUCAGUCGGUAGAUACUCAUAUUAUGUAAGCUUUAUUGAUGAUUAUAGCAAGUUUACAUGGAUCUAUCUUCUUAAGAAACGGUCUGAAGUGUUUCAAGUUUUCACAAACUUUAAAAAUCUUGUUGAAAGAAAACUAGACACUAAGAUCAUCGCCAUGCAAACCGACUGGGGAGGUGAAUACAGGAAACUGAAUUCAUUCUUUCAGCAACUUGGUAUUUCUCAUCAUGUUGCAUGCCCCCAUGCGCACCAGCAAAAUGGUUCAGCAGAAAGAAAACACCGUCAUGUUGUUGAAGUAGGCCUAGCUCUACUCGCAAAUGCAUCUAUGCCACUAAAAUUCUGGGAUGAAGCAUUCUUAACUGCCACACAUCUCAUCAACUUGCUCCCUAGCAAAGUCAUCAAUUUUGAGACUCCUAUCACACGUCUUUUUGGCACUAGCCCAGAUUACAAGUCUCUGCCUGUCUUUGGUUGUGCAUGCUGGCCUAACCUACGGCCAUAUAACUCACGCAAGCUUGCUUUCCGUUCCAAACGAUGUGUUUUCCUGGGAUAUAGUCCUAUUCACAAAGGAGUAAAAUGUCUAGAUGUCUCUACUGGCAGAGUUUAUAUAUCCCGUGAUGUUGUUUUCGAUGAGUCCAUUUUCCCUUUUGCCUCUCUUCACCCUAACGCCGGAGCCAUUCUUAAGAAAGAAAUCCUUCUUCUUCCUCCAAACCUUCGGAAUUUUGAGCAAGGGGGCGAUGAUUGUACUGACCAAUAUGACACUUCAAUCAGUUCUAGUGGUGCAUCUGUUCAUGUGCAGGGUCAUGGAGAAAACGCAGGAGAAAACGGUGCUCAAAACAAUCAAGAUUUGGCACAAAACGGCCCUAUAUUGCAUGUGUUGGAGGAAGAAGAGGCAGGCGCAGAC